CGCGCAGGUGCGUCCUGGGUUUGCGGAGGGGUUGGACCGGGAUCCCACCCUGCUAGGAGAGAUGGGGAAGCUCCGCCGCCUACCCGCCUCAGAACAGAUGGGUUUAACCGUCCGCCUCAUCCUUGGCUGGGAAGAACCAGUGAAUGCGCGGGAAAGUUUGUAGCGAGCAGAGGCAGGCAUUCCUCGUGCGGGGCUCCGGACCCACAGUUGUAGAGCCAGCGGUCUGCGGGGAGCCAUUCUUUUUCUGAGAACCUGCCAUCGAGAACAGCAUUAAGGGAAACACACUUAUCCCAGGGGUCCUGGAACAACAUUAGGAAGCUGGAGGUGAAUGUUCACAGGCCCGUCACGUGGGAGACCCCCAGAGAGCUGGAGCGAUGAGCAUGUGGCAGUGAUUUGGGUCACACACGCUAAUGGCCCAAGAAAAUAACACCAUUAGUGCCAUAAUGGGGCAGCAGCAUCUCUGUCCCCAGGACACUCACUGACUGGAGAAGGACCCGGCCACCAGGUGAUGUUAAGAUGCCCUCUGCUCCUUUCCUUCUUCAACAUGUACUGGUUCCAAAGUGAAUCAGCAGUUUGAACCCAUGAGGACCUUUGUUAUCUGAAACUACAUGUGCCAUCUAACUGCCUAGACAAAGAAAAUGACUCUUAAUCAAAUCACUCUGAUUUCCAUAAGCAGGGUAUCCCCAACCCCCAGGAUCAAAUGCCUGACAAUCUGAAGUGGAGCUGGCGUAAUAAUAAUAAUGGAAAUAGAGUGCACAACAAAUGU